GCAGUUGGACGGUCUGUCGCUUGCUCUCUCGUAGAGUAUGAGGAAAGUCCGGGCAACACAGAGCAUCCCGCUUGUUAAUAUGCAAGGUGUCGGUGACGGCAGGGGACACGUAGAAGAAAACAACCGCCCCGUUCAGGCGAGGUAAGGGUGAGAAGGUGGGGUAAGAGCCCACCGGUCAGGAUGGUGACAUCCUGAGCCGUGCGUUCCGGGAGUUGCAAGGUCAUGUAUACCGGUGUUUGAGGGUUGCUCGCCCGAGCCGGAGGGUAGACCGCUAUAGUCUGCCGGCAACGGUAGACACAGAUAAAUGACAGACGCUGUAGGAAACUGCAGUACAGAACCCGGCUUACAGGCCAACUGCUUUU
rnacentral:RNase_P_RNA from 1 species